rnacentral:rRNA from 1 species
UACGUAGGGCGCAAGCGUUAUCCGGAAUUAUUGGGCGUAAAGAGCUCGUAGGCGGUUUGUCGCGUCUGCCGUGAAAGUCCGGGGCUCAACUCCGGAUCUGCGGUGGGUACGGGCAGACUAGAGUGAUGUAGGGGAGACUGGAAUUCCUGGUGUAGCGGUGAAAUGCGCAGAUAUCGGGAGGAACACCGGUGGCGAAGGCGGUUCUCUGGGCCUUACCUGACGCUGAGGAGCGAAGGCCAGGGGAGCAAACGGG